UUGCAGAAGCUGAUGACAAUUCAAGUGUCGGAGGGGAAAGCAGGACCGGUAGAUGCACUUUUUCCUUUGAAUCUUUAUCUUCCUAGGGCUGGUCCAUCAAAGGAAGUGGCGGCCUCGUGGCCCAAGGCGAACGAGUUGGUGAGGCUUUACGAAGGCCUUUGCAUUUCCAAAGCUGCAGCUGUAGCUGUGCUGUGUUCCUGGCUGGCUCCAGAUGGAAGUGUGUUAGCUUAAAUCACCGAGGCUGGCUUUAAUUACAAGCUUCACCCAGCGUGAGAUUUGCAGACCCCUGAACAACUGUACUUAUCGUGAGCCUUGGCACAGGCAUAAAGUCGUCUGGAAUGGACCCUCCAGAGACUGAGGCCUUUGCUCUGGCACACCAUCAGGGCCAGUGUGAUCUUGGUCUUAGCCUAUUUUCAAACCAUCUUCAGAUUAGAGUUGAAGGAAAUAAUCCAAGGAAAAACAGAUUACUUUGAAGGCUCUGCAGGAUGGGAAGGGGUGCCCAGGCGGUGACACCGACCAGCCAGCGGAGGUGGGGGAAGAUUUCCAGGUUCCCAGUCCCACCUUAUCCUAGCAAAGGAGUUCCCGCGAGCUCCCCCAGCUCAGCUCCUUUCCAUUGCCCCAUGAUGUGCAGGGAAGCAGCCUGAAAGGAGAGAGCCCCGCGAGCCGAUGGCACCCAUGGGACAGCGCUGGGUACACAAGAAGAGACUGCGUUAGGAAACAGUAAAAGCAGAACUGAAGUUGCCAAUGCAAUCUGAAAACCCUACUUAAAUAAUAAAUUUCCUGCAAAUGAUCUCCCUUUCCGAGCAUUGCUUGGACACGGGACCUUCCUUCCUGCAAGUAAGCUCUGAUCUUUAGUAAGCAUGCUUUGAAGGGAAGAGUUCUCUGUAAUCAUUGCCUGGGAAUAAUUUGCAGUGAAACUAAUUCAGGGGUGUGUGUGCAUGUGUAGCGUGACAAGCAUGGUUUGAGUCUGAGCCUUGAUCACAUGGAGAGCUUUUCCACAGUUCAAGUGCAUUACUUUUGGUCGUCCUUUGACAGCAGAAGCAGUAACGCUACUGUUAUCCUGUCAGCUGCAAUCAUCGAGGCUGUAAUUUUUCAAAAAUUUUUUAACUUUAAUUUCAGUAGAAGCAUCAACUGCUUAAGAGUACAAAACCCAAUAUUUGUUUAAAUGAAGGAACUAGGUAUAGAGAUACAGCCUUGUAGUCACGAUUUGUGCAACUAAAAUCUGUUAUGAAAACUGGUAGAAGGAAGAUUAUCUGAAUGCAAGUGAGCUUAUCUAAAUCAUUGAUGGACACUCUGGUGUUUACCAGGUUUGCGCUGUGGUGCUGCCUGGUUUUGAACGACGCUUUGCCUAGGUGAAGCAAGCGCGUCACUUUAGACUUCCGCACCUCACUGAAUAAAAAUUGGACAGAAAAAGCCUGGAGUCUGACUCUGCUUUCACCCCCACCCACCUGUCUUCUCCCCAAAGUCAAAGCCAAACUGGUGUUGUUCCUUGAGGCCGGGGCAGGCGCGGCUGGGCGACGUGCUGCGGGCGGGCGCUGGCUGCAGAGGGCUGCAGCGGGUCACCCUGCCACUACGCUGGGUGCUGCCAACGGCGCAGCCUGCUGCCCAGGGAAAUAUGCCAUUGUGGGUGAGGAAUCUGAGUGUCGCGUUGGUUUUCCAUUUUGUAUUUAUUUAAGAAAAAAAA